AUGGGGACCUCAGCGGUCGAGGGAACGGAUCUCUGGAAGCAAAUAGACGAUGCCGAGUGCUAUCUGGUCAGCGGAUCGUUCGACCAAGCGGUUUUGACUGCAUUGUCCGUGUCUGAUCAAAUUCGAGCGGCCAAUACGGAAAGAGUAUGCGAUGAUGAUGAGCUUUUGGAGAUGCUCGAAUUAGUUGGGAUUGUACUCGUUCAAGCACUUAAGGAGCUCAGAAGGACAACUGAGAUGUUUGUUCAGCUUAAAGCUAUGUAUGGUUCAGUGGCAUCAAUACCGGUGAAGGUUUUCCUGACAGGGGCUACCAUGCUAAUGGCAGAAGGUUCUGGGCCCGACCUUCGACCAAUCUUCGAGGACUUCCUUGCUAAAUGGAGAUACACAGAUGAUCAAGUUUAUGUUUUGAACGGAGAACAGGAAAGAUCUUCAAAUGGUCUUAUUGUUACAUCAACUAUGGCAACUGAAGAGUAUUUGGAGGUGGUAGAAUUGUAUACAGUUACAUUCCUUAGCAUUGCCUCUGAUGAGCCUGAAAAUGCCAUCUCAUGGGUAGAGAAGGCAGAACUAAUUGAGCAAGAUCGACAGGAGCUACUUGAAAAACUUCAUGCAUUACAAGCAGCUGCAAAUGAAAAGUCAUCCACUGCUAGAGGAUCAAAACAAUCAACAGAGAGGAACCUUUCUGCUUUUGACAAAGGCCCAACACCAGCAACACACGAGGAUGCCCCAGCAAGCACCACGCGUGCACCCAAUGUGAAAACAAAUGGCUUACCAAAGUCCAUUGAGCCUUCCCUUCAGCGCGUCGCAAAUAACUUUGAUCCCAUGUUUUGGUGGUUCCAUUCGGUGCGCGUAAAGUUUGGCAGAAUGCACAUUGUUCUACCAAGUGGUAAGCUAAUGCUUCUGUUCUCGCUGUUGUUCUCGACAGUCUACGUCCUCCGGAGGAAAGGCGCCGGCUUAAAGAGGGUUGUGUUCCAACACGCUUCGUCCCUGCGACGGGCGUUCCUCGACGCCCUCCAACUCGCCUUCUCCGUCCAGAUGAACCCACUAGCGGCCGUUCAACAGACGCCGCAAGCCCCUCGAGGAAGCUGGUGA
rnacentral:rRNA from 1 species